AGUGAACGCUGGCGGCGUGCUUAACACAUGCAAGUCGAACGAGAACGGAAUAUAGCUUACUAUAUUUGUCAGCUAAGUGGCGCACGGGUGAGUAAUGUAUAGAUAACCUGCCCUUAAGAAAGGAAUAACAGUUGGAAACGACUGCUAAUGCCCUAUAUGCCUUUAAUACAUAAGUAUGCAAGGGAAACGCUUUAGUGCUUAAGGAUGGGUCUGUACGGUAUCAGCUUGUCGGUGAGGUAAUGGCUCACCAAGGCUAUGACGCCUAACUGGUUUGAGAGGAUGAUCAGUCACACUGGAACUGAGACGCGGUCCAGACUCCCACGGGAGGCAGCAGUGGGGAAUAUUGCACAAUGGACGAAAGUCUGAUGCAGCAACGCCGCGUGGAGGAUGACACAUUUCGGUGCGUAAACUCCUUUUAUAUAGGAAGAUAAUGACGGUACUAUAUGAAUAAGCACCGGCUAACUCCGUGCCAGCCGCCGCUGUAA
rnacentral:rRNA from 1 species